ensembl:lncRNA
CUGGUCCAACCACCCUGCAAUGAACAGGGACACCUAUAGCUCCAUCAGCUGCUCAGAGCCCUGUCCAAACUGACCUUGAGCUUCUCCAGGGACGGGGCAUCCCCACCUCUUUGGCUGACCUGUGCCAGUUGUUCCACCUUUCCCUUAAUCUCCAAAUCUUGUGCCAUUCUUUGCCUGAUGGAGGAGAAGAAUUUCCUGGUUACCACACGUCAUGUUAAUUUUGCUUUGUAUUUAUUUCCUCUCUUGCAGCCCCCUGAGCCCCCUGUUGAUUUGUUCUGCCAGCGCUGAAUCAAUCCGACUGCGAUUUCAUUCUGUUGGUGGUGUUCUGAGUGCUUUCCUCAAAGCCCCCAACCCCACUGAGCUGCUGGGGAGUGCAGCUAUGGCAAUGGGUCCUCUUCAGCCCCCGAGGAUAAGUCCUGAUAGGAAGACCAGGACACAGCGAUGUCACACUCUGAGGCAGGUUGGGUUUUGUCUGCCAUUUUUUUAAAUCAUUUUGAGGCAGGAGUAAUAAAUGCUAAAGAUGCGCUCGGAAUUUGAAUAUGAAUGAUAAGAACAGCUGUGUAUAUCUAUUAUGAACGAAUAUAAACAGAAAUGUAUAAACUGAGAUUUUGGGGGCUUUGGGAAGAAUUAGUGUCUUUGUUCCUGGAUUUUUUUCCUAUCAGAGUUUGAACCAAAGCCCAUUAGCCCGGACUUUCCCGCAGCCGCCCCAGCCAGGAGCUUCAUUUCGCGCUGGCUCCGAGCCACGCUGAAUUCUCCUCAACAGCUCAGUGAGCCCUAAUCCUAACAAAUUUACCCAGAGAAGUGGUUCUCUUAUUACACUGCCUAAUUUGAACGCUUUCCAAGGUUAAUUUCUGCUCCCUCUCCCUCCAAACGCGCCUGCCCCCCCGCUCCCCGUUAGCGCCAGCCCGGGGGGAGCAGCCCCAGACCUUCCCCUCCUGGCCACGAUUGGUUUUAAAUGAGAAAAUAAUGCGAUGUUCGUCCCCGGGUGCAGGGUCUGCCCGCAGGGUUUCCUAAUGCUAAGCCACUUCCUUUGCAAAUUAAUUGCAACUUUUGCUGGGCAAAAAUAGCCCUGGAAGCCCAUUCCCCGCGGGCUCUUCUGCGUGUAAUACUACUCUGCUCAUAAUCUGAUUGCUGUGACUCUCAUUUCUUCUUUUCUCCUCUCCAUCCCGGGUGUAAUAGAGCCUGCAAGGGCUUUGCAGUACCUGUGGAGCAUCUUGGUUGUACCAGUGGGAUAUCCCCAUGGUAUCUCUGGAUCACCCCUACAGUAUCUGUGGGAUAUCCCAGUGGUACCCUAUGGGGCAUCCCUAUAGUAUCUGCCCUUAUCUCUACACCAUAGGAACACUGUUGCCACUGGGACUGUCCUCAGCCCUUCUGACAGCCCGGCUCCUCCCCAGCCCUGCCUCCCCCUUCAAAGCAAUGUGACUUUUAUAGCAAUUACUUCUGAACCCUGGCGCUGGGGCCGUGCCAAGGAAAGCAGCAGAAAACAAUGUGAUGGGCCUCGGCAGGCGCGGAAACUCCACUGGCGGAGACCGGCCCUAAAAUAACUUUCAUGCAAUGGUUAUUUAUUCUGGGGGAAAGUUGGUUCAUUCACAAUUUGGAGGGAAGAGACAUCAUUGCACAGGAGCAGUGCGAGGGUGCUGUGAGCUCACACCCUGCUGCCGUGGCUGUGGGGUUGUUUGAAGGGCACUGGGGUUGCGAUGUCCAAAAUCAGGAGGAGGAGGUCCUGCCCUCCUAGGGGGCAGCUUCCUCCCCACAGCAUAGGUUUGGUUGUCAGUUCAGUGGGCUCAGAAUUUACCAAUUGGUGAUGUGAUGCAGUGACACUUCAUUAUUUCCUUUAAAAUACACAUGUGUAGGUUUGUGUUUUUUGCAGUUAUGAAUGUCAUUCCCCAAUCCACUCAGGAGCCUGCAAUUUUCUGGCCGAGGUGGGAAGCUGCCGACACCGUGUGAUACAUGGAGAGAUUGAUUGUAUUUACUUACCCUUUAACCUAAUAAAGAAAAAUAAUGUUCCUUCAUCUCACUAAUUCUCUAUAAACCUGAGCGUUGCUUUAAAUCAGCUGGAAGAGCAGGCGCUGAACCUUAGCAUAGCUGGGGCAGAGGUAUAGGGAAUCCCGUCUGCCUGGAAGAGCAGCCUGCAGACC